AUUGAACGCUGGCGGCAGGCCUAACACAUGCAAGUCGAGCGGAUGAAGGGAGCUUGCUCCUGGAUUCAGCGGCGGACGGGUGAGUAAUGCCUAGGAAUCUGCCUGGUAGUGGGGAGUAACGUCCGGAAACGGGCGCUAAUACCGCAUACGUCCUGAGGGAGGAAAGUAGGGGGAGUCUUCGGACCUCACGCUAUCAGAUGAGCCUAGGUCGGAUUAGCUAGUUGGUGGGGUAAAGGGCCUACCAAGGCGACGAUCCGUAACUGGUCUGAGAGGAUGAUCAGUCACACUGGAACUGAGACACGGUCCAGACUCCUACG
rnacentral:rRNA from 1 species